rnacentral:lncRNA from 1 species
UAUUCCAUAGCAGAGGAAACUAAAGUGUAGAGAGGUAAUCUACUAGACACAUUUUGAGAACUGGAAUGUGGCAAGGCUGGAGUUGAUAUCCAUGCCUGUCCGAUCUAACCAUAAUAGUUAUCUCAACUAACAUUAAAUUUGUCCUUGGACUUUUACAGAAAAGCCUUUUUAUUUAAUAAUCGUGUUAAUGUCAGAACUACCCCUGAAAACAGUUCUGAAUACAACUGAAUGUAGCUUUAUUUGUAAUAGGGACCUUUUGUAAACAGUGUAAUGCCGAGAACUAGAGAAAUGGCUGGAUUUAAAAGCCGGCCUGGUAAACCCUGUUCUCUUGUGAGUUUAGAAUAUGACAAAGAAAUGUAUAUAAUUCAGACAGUGAAAAGGCCGAGUAAAAAUACUGGAGACAGACAUGUCCUGAGCAUGCACGAGGCCCUAGGCAUGAUCUCCAGUACUCCCAAACAGGGACUAAUACGUCUUCUUCAUCUCCUUCCCCCGAGACAAAGUUUCUUUGUAUAACUUACUGCCCUGGCUGUCCUAGAACUCACUUUGUAGGGCUGGCCUCAAACUCAGAGAGAUCCAACUGCCUCUGUCUCCCAAGUGGUGGGAUUAAGGUGUGUACCACCAUGCCCGGCUUGAGAACUAAGAAUUGAACUAAAAUGUGCAUUAUAAGAAUGAAAGCUAGUAUCUCAGAUGUUAACAGUGGAUAACCCUACACAUCUCUUAAUGAGUUCCCUAGCUAGACAGUGUUCCCUCUAUUCAGUAUGUCCCUCUAUAAGGAACAAUGUAUAACAUCAAAAAUGUGGCUUUUAAAUUGGCUUGUGGGUUUUGUUUUUAACAUGCUAAUGUAAAAAUAAUGUAAUCUGACUGAAAGCUUUUCUUUAGACUUAUCAUAUCUUUCUGUUCACUCCACAAAUAUGGACUGUUUACUUUCAGAGUACUACAGACUGUCCUGGGUGUCCUCUGUGUGGGAGAGGGGACAUCUGUAGCCUUUCUUUUCAUUUGAUACUAUAAGCACUUCCAGUUUCAGUAAACAUUUUCUAAACAUGCUUAUACACGUGUACACUUGACCAAUCCUCUGGUGUGUGUGUUUUUAAACACUUGAACUAUUCUCAAGUUUUUACUAAUAUGUUAUAUUAUGAUGAAACUUUUUGCACAAGUAUGCCCAUAUGAAAUAUUGCUAGCUUAGUUCAGUCUUAGAAGCCUAGAACUGGAAUUGAUUAGUGUUCUUAAUGUGAUUUCCUAAAUUAAUAUUUUAGGAACAACAUAAAUGGAGGCUGGAGAGUAGCUUAGGGGCUAAGAGCAUUUGCUGCUCUUGGAGAGGAGUGCAUGUCCCAGCACCCAGCAGUGGUUCACAACAUCUGUAACUCCAAUUCAAGGGAGAAGCCUUCUUCUGGCUCCCACGGGCCCAGGCAUACAUGCAGUACACAUAAAUACAUACAUACAUACAUACAUGUCAGCAAACAGCCAUACUCAUAAAAUUAGAAUAAAAUGUUUAAUAAUAGCAUUUGUGAAAGUUACCUUUAAAACUGUAAGAUUAUGCUCAGUUUGCAUGUCUCUUCUGAUGAAUUUAAUACAAGGUAAAUACUAACUAUAAAACACUUGAUAGGUUUUUUUAGCCUUUCCAAUAAACUCUUCUCUGCCUUAAAAUAAUAACUCCAAUGAUU